ensembl:lncRNA
GCAAAGAAAGAUCCGCAGAGCUGAGCGUCGCUCUCUGCGUCACAGAUGUGAAAGUGAAAGUAAGUUGUUGGGAGAGGCGCAGAGACGGAGACACGCAGAGGAUGAACUGUCAGUGAACGCCGGUCUUCAGUGUCCUACAGGGAUUCCUGUUGAUAUAGUUGAGCGAUGCAGUCCUGUAGCUCUGCUCACUGUGUCCUGAUCUUACUGAUCUUCACAUUCACUGCUGUGUAUGUGUCAGCUGUUCCUCUAGUGAGGGUGAAGCUUCAUGACUCUGCUACUCUGCCCUGCUCUGAGACAUGUUCUGGUUUGGUCAGAUGGACUGAGUUCCAUAAUCCCACUGAUGUUCUAGCUGAGUGUGAUCAGACCUCAUGUAGAUCAGUGAAGGAGGGAUAUCAGAUGAUCCAUGAUCAGUACCUGAAGGGAGAUCUCUCUCUCACCAUCACUGACGCUGAUUACAGUAUGAUGGGCACGUACACAUGUGAGUGCCUUUCUCUUUUUUCCUCACCCUCACUGUCUCUGAAUUCAGAAACACCAGAGGCAGGGAACAAUAUUUCUGGCAGCAGUCAUACUAAAGGAACGUCCCACGGGUCUGAAUCAGCUGUUUCUCUAGUGAAGGUGAAGCUUCAUGACUCUGCUACUCUGCCCUGCUCUGGGAGAUGUCCUGGUUUUGUCAGAUGGACUGAGUUCAGUAAACCCAGUGAUGUUCUGGCUGAGUGUGAUCAGACUUCAUGUAGAUCAGUGAAGGAGGGAUAUCAGAUGAUCUAUGAUCAGUACCUGAAGGGAGAUUUCUCUCUCAUCAUCACUAAUGCUGAUUUCAGUAAGAAGGGAGUCUACUCAUCUGACUGUGAUGGUAAAGAUCUCUGUGAUGUGGAGCUUCAGGUUGAGGACACACCAGAGCCAGAGAAGAGGCCUGAGAUCAAAGGAGACAUUGACAAACCAUCCCAUGGUGAAGGACAACGCUGGGUGCCUGUGUUGGUUGCUGUGCUCACGGUGGUGCUGAUGCUGGUGCUGUUGCAGAUACUGGUGCAUGUGUCUGUAGCUGCAGGGUGGUAUAUGUUCAAAGCAAGGAGCAUGAAAAGUUCCGAUCAGGAGGAAAACCAGGAGUAAAGUUCUGCAGUGUGAGCUCAGCAUCAGCUAACAGUUUCUGACUGUGAUAUUAAUAUUGAUAUUGAUUGUAUCUGUAAGUGUUUAGUUUAGUGAAUCUCUUUUUCAUGGUGUUCCUCUGUAAGAACAAAGUCUGUCUGGCUUUCUGACUCUGUGAUGUUGAUUAUACUGAUAGUGAAUGAUUAGUUUGUUCCACUGUAAAGAACAGAGACUGUCUGGUAGCUCUCAGUCCCUCACACACACACACACACACACACACACACAAUCAGUGUAGAAACACCAUAAAGACCCCGACACUCUGACACCCCGACCAGCAGCAGCUCAGCUGUGCCUGAUUUCAUCUUCAGCUGAUUGCAGAGCGUCUGAAGCAGCUGUAAGGCAGCAUGUUCACCCUUCAGCUCCUGAUAGAAGUGUGGAUGAGUUCCUCUCAGAGCUCACAGCUCACUAUCACACACACAGUCCUCAGUUCUUUCAGUGGAAUAAGAGCUUUCACACAGACGUGGACUUUAAAGUGUAUAAGCUGUUACUGUUUUAAAGGAAACUCUGACUGAUGAGACUCAUGUGCUUUAUAACAGUGUAAUAAUGUCCAGUACUGUUAUAAUCUAAUGUACAAACCGACGAGAAUGUUUUAUUUAUUAUAACAUAAAGAGACAAAAUCUCCCGACUAGUAACUCACCAUUGAGGCCUUGUGAUCAUGUCAUGAUUGUUCUGGUCAUCUGGAAAAUAAGAUCAUUAAAAGUUUCUCUUCUGGGUAAUUAAGGCUCUAGAUAAAGCUGGAAAGGUUCCAUUAGAUGUUUAGCUGAUUCCUAUUAGAGGAAUUUUAACAGUCAGUGUUUUGCUUGGUACUGGACAUGUUCGCCACAUCGAGGCCUGAGUAUCAGUCAGGGUUUGAUUUAAAUUGUUCCAUCACCGUUAUUGUUAUUACUUUUAUUACUGUUACUACUUUCUGUACUUGUAUUACUAUUAUUACUUACUUUCCCGCAUUGCCUUUAUUACUAUAUCACUUUCUUUACUGAUAAUAGGGCAGCAAACUAACAUGCAGCUCAUCCAGCUAAUGGCCUUUUACAGUAUGCGUGGUUAAUAUUAGUAAUAGCAGUAGCAGUAAAGCUUUUGCUAGUAGUAUUGUGCCUUUGAUCGCUACAAAUAAGAGUUAAAUCAAUAGAUGUCAAAUAUUUCCUGCCUUAUUUUGAACAUGACGUCAAAAACAUCACAGAACACGUGAACUGGCCCAUGAGACAGUGGGCAGUAUAGAUAUUAAUGUUUGAUUAGAAGUAGCAGCUUCAGUUCUUCUCCUCAGGAACCCAGUUGGGAAACAGAAUAGCAGCUCACUGUCUCUUUGUUUUGUGUUCUUUAUAUGUCGUAUUUGAAGCUUUGGUGUUAUGAAUAAAAGCAGAACUAUAGUUAUUAUUCGUAAUGUUAUACUCCUGGGUAAAUAAAGGCUGUUUGAAGGAAUAACUGGUGU